ACGAACGCUGGCGGCGUGCCUAAUACAUGCCAGUAGAACGCACAGUUUAUACCGUAGCUUGCUACACCAUAGCCUGUGAGUUGCGAACGGGUGAGUAACGCGUAGGUAACCUGCCUGGUAGCGGGGGAUAACUAUUGGAAACGAUAGCUAAUACCGCAUAAUAUUAAUUAUUGCAUGAUAAUUAAUUGAAAGGUGCAAUUGCACCACUACCAGAUGGACCUGCGUUGUAUUAGCUAGUAGGUGAGGUAACGGCUCACCUAGGCGACGAUACAUAGCCGACCUGAGAGGGUGAUCGGCCACACUGGGACUGAGACACGGCCCAGACUCCUACGGGAGGCAGCAGUAGGGAAUCUUCGGCAAUGGACGAAAGUCUGACCGAGCAACGCCGCGUGAGUGAAGAAGGGUUUCGGAUCGUAAAGCUCGGUUGUAAGAGAAGAACGGGUGUGAGAGUGGAAAGUUCACACUGUGACGGUAUCUUACCAGAAAGGGACGGCUAACUACGUG
rnacentral:rRNA from 1 species